rnacentral:rRNA from 1 species
UGCAUAUCGGUAAGCGGAGGAAAAGAAACCAACAGGGAUUGCCCCAGUAACGGCGAGUGAAGCGGCAACAGCUCAAAUUUGAAAUCUGGCCCCCGCCCGCGGGGCCCGAGUUGUAAUUUGCAGAGGAUGCUUUUGGCGCGGCGCCUUCCGAGUUCCCUGGAACGGGACGCCAUAGAGGGUGAGAGCCCCGUCUGGUCGGACGCCUAGCCUCUGUAAAGCUCCUUCGACGAGUCGAGUAGUUUGGGAAUGCUGCUCUAAACGGGAGGUAUAUGUCUUCUAAAGCUAAAUAUUGGCCAGAGACCGAUAGCGCACAAGUAGAGUGAUCGAAAGAUGAAAAGCACUUUGAAAAGAGGGUUAAACAGUACGUGAAAUUGUUGAAAGGGAAGCGCUUGUGACCAGACUUGGGCGCGGCGAAUCAUCCGGCGUUCUCGCCGGUGCGCUUCGCCGCGCCCGGGCCAGCAUCAGUUCGCGGCGGGGGACAAAGGCGCCGGGAACGUGGCUCCCCCGGGAGUGUUAUAGCCCGGCGCGCAAUGCCCCGCGGCGGACUGAGGUUCGCGCAUCCGCAAGGAUGCUGGCGUAAUGGUCACCAGUGACCCGUCUUGAAACACGGAA